AGUGAACGCUGGCGGUAGGCCCAACACAUGCAAGUCGAACGGCAGCACAGGAGAGCUUGCUCUCUGGGUGGCGAGUGGCGGACGGGUGAGGAAUACAUCGGAAUCUACUCUGUCGUGGGGGAUAACGUAGGGAAACUUACGCUAAUACCGCAUACGACCUACGGGUGAAAGCAGGGGACCUUCGGGCCUUGCGCGAUUGACUGAGCCGAUGUCGGAUUAGCUAGUUGGCGGGGUAAAGGCCAACCAAGGCGACGAUCCGUAGCUGGUCUGAGAGGAUGAUCAGCCGCACUGGAACUGAGACACGGUCCAGACUCUGACGGGAGGCAGCAGUGGGGAAUAUUGGACAAUGGGCGCAAGCCUGAUUCAGCCAUACCGCGUUGGUUAAGAAGGCCUUCGGGUUGUAAAGCCCUUUUGUUGGGAAAGAAAUCCAGCUGGCUAAUACCCGGUUGGGAUGACGGUACCCAAAGAAUAAGCACCGGCUAACUUCGUGCCAGCCGCCGCAGUAA
rnacentral:rRNA from 1 species